rnacentral:tRNA from 1 species
UCUCUCGUGGCGCAAUUGGCUAGCGCGUUCGACUGUUAUUCUCGCAAUGCGAUCGAGAGGUUGGUGGUUCGAGCCCACCCGAGAGAG